GACACAAUAUUAUUAACGGGCCA
rnacentral:siRNA from 1 species